GUGAGGGGCGUGGCGCGGUGAUGUUCCCGCGCCUGCGGCUCCCAGGCCCCCCUUCCCCUACGACCCGGGCGCCUAGACCGUCCCUGCGGAAGGAGCCGAGGGGAAGCCUCCCUGCUCGCGGGAUCCGGGGCCCGGGAGCCCAUGGGCCGCGAUGAGCCCGCCCGUCCCGUUCCCCCACAGGUCCCCGUUCUGAGGGUCAGCGCGGCCUUCUAGAAGGUCCGGGACGGAUUCGUAGCGCUCCCAGGGAGAUUGGGAGACGGGGAAGGAGAACUGGCGACCUCACGGGGGCUGGCGGGGUAGCACGGCCGCCCCACCUCGGGCCCCGCCCACUCGGGCCCGAGCUCUCUGGCGCCGCCUGUGGUGAGCUUCACGGCCCCGGGGCCCCGACGUGUGGCGGCCCCUCUCUAUCCCAGCCCGCCGCGUUCGCCGAAUGCUCCUGAGCGUGUCUCUGGGCGGGUUCGCUGCCAAGCACGGACGCCCCCUCCUCCUGCACACAGGGUGCUGUGCACAGUAGGGCGGAGCGGGCAGCCUGGUCGCGGGAGGACGUGGCGCCUGUCAGAGGCGUGUGUCCACGCUUCUGGAGAUGGGGACGCAGGAAGGUGACAGUCUCCCAGUGUCACUCGACAGGGUGGUCUGCCACGGGGGAUUCCUGUUGUGCGCCAGGACGACCAGUGGUUGGGCACCGGCUGGGGCCCUCUCACUUCCUGGGGAGGUAGGUCAAGGUGAGCCCCGCAGAGAAAGCCCUGCAAACGGGAACCCGCCCUCCCCCCGCCCCUCCCCCCGUGCUUCCCACGCUGCAGCGUGCCUGGGAACACCUGCCGAACUGGUUCCCACUAAGGAGCCUGGAAAGGCUGGUUGCCGCCUUCCUUCCCUGGCAGGCGGAGCCUCCCAGCUUCUGGGUGUUGCUGCACAGGCCUUCCCGCGGCGUGGGGCACGGACACCCACCCCGAAGACUGCUGGGCUCCACCACACUGCCCUGGUUGGUCUUCCUGCAGGUCCAGGGGCUGCCUGUAGUUUAGUCACCUAGCUGAGCACUGAGCGCUGAGCGAAACAGCAGUCUUGGAAGCCCACGGUCUCCAAUAGAGUCGCUUGCCCGGUGUGGAAGCCCUUUGCGUUUCCGUUCCUCUCCUCUGUCCCUAUUGCUACUUGGUCAUCUGCCUUUUUGCUUGUUGGUUGGCUCCAGGUCUCUACCUGGUAACACAGGAGCCCUCGAUCACAUCUUGAAGCUCGCUUUCGCCACUCUGUCAAGUCUUUCACACACUGGUUUGAGAAGUUGUUGGGGGUCAAGUAGAAAAUUUUAGUCUUCGUAUCAUUGCAAUUCCCAGGCUUUUCCUAAUGGUUUCUGGGGUUUCUUUGCCUUGGGCUAACUGGGCAAGCUCCCCCAGUUAAAACCCUGUGCAUCUGGCUUUUAUGUCCCAGGUCAGGGGGCCCCCUGGAGUUUGGCUCUGGCUCAG
rnacentral:lncRNA from 1 species